ensembl:lncRNA
GCCCUAUGUGGGGCAGGAGGGGCCUCAAGCUUUCCCAAGACAGAGCUGGUGGCACCUGCACACAGCCAGGAGCUGCCGGGGAGGGGCAGUGGUGAGCUCCCCGACACUGAAGGAGAUCAAGCAAGCCCUGAUGCCCCCUGGGCGAGGAGGCUUGAGCCGGAGGAGUAGAGAGGCCAGCAUCACAAGGAGAGUAUUUUUACCAGAAGCAAUUAUGGGCGGCACAAGCCCUGGAAGGGAACAGUGGACAAGAUGACCUCUGGGGUCCUGGGGUGGACCCCCAACAGCCAUCCUGCGUCUCGCACUAAUUGGUGCCUUAACCGAGGCCCAGGGGCCGGACGGCACUGCUGGCCAGGCCGUGGACUCGGGUCCGAGAGCUGCCCGCCAGGAAGUGAUCUCUCCAAGAGUCGGUUCCGGGCGGGGUCAGAGGCUUGCGGCCGGAGAGAUCCCAGCCCCGCAGUCUGAACGCUGCCCCACGACCAGGAGGCGGCUCUCAGGGCCCGGGAGCCCUGAGCCGAGCCCGUGCGGGGAUGGGGGCGGCCGUGGAUGUUGGCCACCGCCUGGACUCUUGUUCCUGUGCUUCUGACCCGCAGAUGGGGCCAGAGGAGAGGCUCAGCCAGGGAGGAGGGAGGCGCUGGCCUGGCCAGGAUUUCCUGCUUGUGCCCGGCUUUCCAUCACGAUGGGGGCUCCAAAACCUGCCUCAGGCGCGGCUGGAUCUAUGUGUCUUGCGUCUCCAGGCGGCACAGGACCAGCACACAGACCCACAGACCACUCUUCGGAGCUGCUGCUGUUCCAUGUGGUGACCAAUCUCUCGGGGAAGGGGCCGCAGGUCAGGGGUGGGAACGGUUUCCUCGGAGGUACCGGCCUGGGGUCAGGAGCCACGCGCCAUGAACUGAAAUAUCAGAUCCGUCCUAAACAGUGAAGGGAGUGUGAGUUCGCGUCUCUGGGCCAGAGUGUGCAGAUCAGGGAGACAUUCAGGGCUGAGGUGGACAGAACGGAGAGGUCAGUUCACGGACCCGGAACCGGCCAGGGGGCCGGAGGACGGGAAACCUGCGGGGCAGGGACAGCGGCAUUACAUGAGGCGAGGGCCCCCUUGUAGUCUCAGAAAUGAGAGGGAACACGAGGCCUGGGGUCUGCAGGGGGCAGGGGUCCCUGGGCAACCGCACGGCCUUGCCCUGGGGCACCAGGAAGUCCUGCUCAAGAGAGAGGAGGAACGGCCGAGGGGGUGCCCCGAGGUCGGGGGCAGGGCUUUUCCCUAUAACUUGACUCUCAGUGCCUUCGUGCCCAGUCAAUUGCCACCUCCUCCUGGAGGCCACCCCGGGUACCUGGGACAGAGUUAACCUCCUGACGUGCGCAGCACCAGCUUGUGUAGGAAAUGUUAGUGCCCGGGCUGUGUGAUCUUGGGCAAAGGGCUUGACGUGUCUGAGCUUCCUUUAUAAGACGGGACUAACGAGGUUGAGUCUCUGCCUUUGUGGAAGGGCAUGCCCAGGGCUCAGCCCCAAAGCACCUACGAUGUGCAGAGGUGACAGGGGCUCUCGGGCCAGUCCAGACCCCUGCGGGGCUCCCGGGAGAGGUGGGGAAAGUCCACACGGGGCCUCUGGCAGCUGCCUGCCCCGAGGAGUCUCUGGAAGCCCUUGGGGACCCGGUGGGGCCAUAAAUCAGAGCUCCCUCUAUCAUUCCCUACACCCCUGCUGCC